rnacentral:rRNA from 1 species
GACGAACGCUGGCGGCGUGCUUAACACAUGCAAGUCGAACGAUGAACCACUUCGGUGGGGAUUAGUGGCGAACGGGUGAGUAACACGUGGGCAAUCUGCCCUGCACUCUGGGACAAGCCCUGGAAACGGGGUCUAAUACCGGAUACCACCAUCGCAGGCAUCUGUGGUGGUUGAAAGCUCCGGCGGUGCAGGAUGAGCCCGCGGCCUAUCAGCUUGUUGGUGAGGAGAAGCUCACCAAGGCGACGACGGGUAGCCGGCCUGAGAGGGCGACCGGCCACACUGGGACUGAGACACGGCCCAGACUCCUACGGGAGGCAGCAGUGGGGAAUAUUGCACAAUGGGCGAAAGCCUGAUGCAGCGACGCCGCGUGAGGGAUGACGGCCU